GUUGUUUCAGUGGAUGCGUGUAACUACCUCGUACGGAUUUGCAUAGUUGUUAACUCUUAUCUGCAGUUCUAUUGACCUGCAUAUCAUGAUUUGCAGGUGCAUAUAUAUGACAGACACGGAGUACUUUUCAUACUUGAAUAUAGGAACUAUUAUUGUUGGUAUUGUUA